CCUUCGGGGACAUUGGUGACAGGUGGUGCAUGGUUGUCGUCAGCUCGUGUCGUGAGAUGUUGGGUUAAGUCCCGCAACGAGCGCAACCCUUGUCUUUAGUUGCCAUCAUUAAGUUGGGCACUCUAGAGAGACUGCCAGGGAUAACCUGGAGGAAGGUGGGGAUGACGUCAAAUCAUCAUGCCCCUUAUGCUUAGGGCUACACACGUGCUACAAUGGGUAGUACAGAGGGUUGCCAAGCCGUAAGGUGGAGCUAAUCCCUUAAAGCUACUCUCAGUUCGGAUUGUAGGCUGAAACUCGCCUACAUGAAGCUGGAGUUACUAGUAAUCGCAGAUCAGAAUGCUGCGGUGAAUGCGUUCCCGGGUCUUGUACACACCGCCCGUCACACCACGGGAGUUGGAGACGCCCGAAGCCGAUUAUCUAACCUUUUGGAAGAAGUCGUCGAAGGUGGAAUCAAUAACUGGGGUGAAGUCGUAACAAGGUAGCCGUAUCGGAAGGUGCGGCUGGAUC
rnacentral:rRNA from 1 species